AGAAAAUAUGGUAUGUGGUCAUAAAACAGUACACACACAAAACAGAACAAUCAAAAAAUGCUCAGUAUCAAGGAUGAACACCCACCCUGAAGACAUCAACCAGCCACUCCAGCCCAAACACAAAGAAAGGACCUGCCUUGUGGGGUUCUGCAGGACCAACACGAGUGAUUUCUAGAGCUCUCAGCUGCCUUCAGUCCUUCCACUUUCAUAUCUAGGGACUGUCAGCAAAAGCUCCUGGCUGAACUCAACCUUUGUGGUGGUCCAGAGGGACAAGAGAGGAGUCUAGUAGACAAGUUUGAAGCCAUGUAUAACUGUAGAGAACUAAGUGGGAGCUGGCACCAGCUAUAUAAAACAAGGAAAUGUCUCCAUUUGACUCAGAGUCCUUUUAAGACCAAGUCUCUUCUGAUUCUGGAAAGGAUGGAGACAAACUCCAAACUCCAUUGUGAAGAAAAUAUUCUACAUUCGCCAAUGCAAUGAAUAACCCUGGUAGAAGUCAGUCAUCCUUGUUUUCAGAACACUAUCCUAGAAGGCAAUGUGAUGCUAGUGUCAGGAGAAUCCCCACUACGGCACUGGGAGUCCAGCUGUGAAGGAACAAAACAAAACAGUACAUGAAGAAUCAAGGACAAAAAUACAAAUUGCAUAGGAGCAAGAGCAGGCUGUGAUCACAAAGCAUAUACAGGAAAGAGAGGAGGCGGUAUCUCUGUCGAAGUCCAGACAUACAGAAUCGCAGAACACAAGGCUCAGCUAAG
rnacentral:lncRNA from 1 species